CGAUCUGGAUAAUUGCUGAUGCCUUUGAGCAUUAGAGGAAAGUCCAUGCUCGCACCAUCUGCGAUGAUGGUAGUGUUUGCGCUAGCGGAAAAAAUAACGCUAGGUAUAUGGGAGCAUAUAACGGCGAAUGGAUACCUAAGUUGCUUUGCAAUACGGUAAAGAUUCUGAAAGUGCCACAGUGACGUAGUUUAUUGGAAACAAUAAAGUGGAACGCGGUAAACCCCACAAGCGAGAAACCCAAAUUUGGUAGGGGAGGUUUUAUAGAAGAAUUGAAUUCUAUAAAGCAUGCAGCAAUGCAUAGAUAAAUAGUUAUCCUAGACAAAACAUGGCUUAUAGGA
rfam:Coprobacillus sp. CAG:826 genomic scaffold, scf23